rnacentral:rRNA from 1 species
AUGAUCAACAACUUGAAUAUCCUGAGUUGGAAUUGCCGAGGAGGCGGGAACUCCCAAACUGCUCCUGAUUUUGUGAGCUUGGUGCAGACCCACUCCCCUAGUAUUGUUUUCCUUUGUGAAACUAGGUAGUCAAAGGAUAGAAUGAAAAUAUAUAGACCUCGACUAGGGUUAAGUGGCUUUGAAGCAGUUGAUAGUGUUGGUUUUAGUGGAGGCCUUGCUCUCUAUUGGCAUGAGUCAUUGAACCUCGAAGUCAAAUCUAUGAAUGAAAGAUGUAUUGAUGCUUAUGUGAGUAGUGUUGCAGGCGAGCCCCCUUGGAGGAUUACAUGCGUCUAUGGCGAGCCUCGGACGGAGGACCGACACAACAUGUGGUCUCUCCUCCGCGAUCUUCACCAACAAGUAGACAUGUCGUGGGCGAUUAUUGGAGACUUCAACAAGGCCAUGUGGGGCUUUGAACAUCUCUUCCAAACGCCUCGCUCAGCAGGUCAGAUGAUUGAUUUUUGUGAUGUUUUGGAGUUGUGUGGUCUCGAUGAUCUUGGCUAUUCAAGGGUGCCGUACAUAUAUGACAACCAUCGGUUUGGACGAGCAAAUGUGAAAGUCCAUCUAGACCGUGCGAUGGCGUGA